UACGUAGGGUGCAAGCGUUGCCCGGAUUUAUUGGGCGUAAAGGGCGCGUAGGCGGCUCGGCACGUCCGUUGUGAAAUCGCCCGGCUCAACUGGGCGGGGUCAGCGGAUACGGUCGAGCUUGAGCAAGCUAGGGGGCAAUGGAAUUCCUGGUGUAGCGGUGAAAUGCGCAGAUAUCAGGAAGAACACCAAUGGCGAAGGCAGCUCUCUGGGACGGUACUGACGCUGAGACGCGAAAGCGUGGGGAGCGAACAGG
rnacentral:rRNA from 1 species